GCAGCCGCCACGGGAAUACAGAGGGUGCGAGCGUUAAUCGGAUUUACUGGGCGUAAAGCGUGCGUAGGCGGCUUCUUAAGUCGGAUGUGAAAUCCCUGAGCUUAACUUAGGAAUUGCAUUCGAUACUGGGAAGCUAGAGUAUGGGAGAGGAUGGUAGAAUUCCAGGUGUAGCGGUGAAAUGCGUAGAGAUCUGGAGGAAUACCGAUGGCGAAGGCAGCCAUCUGGCCUAAUACUGACGCUGAGGUACGAAAGCAUGGGGAGCAAACAGGAUUAGAUACCCCAGUAGUCCCUGUCUCUUAUAC
rnacentral:rRNA from 1 species